AGCACUUGUGUAUGUGUUUGCUGAACUGAUGGGCAAAGACAUAAAAAAUAGGUGCAAAAUAAAACCCUCUUUUGCAACACAGAAUUCAUUUUUCAGUUUGAGUUUUAAUGCAUAUAAGAAUCAAGCUAGC
ensembl:snoRNA